rnacentral:rRNA from 1 species
CACCCGCUCCCGAUACUCUUCACCGAGUGUCGAGACGGGCCGGCACGUUUACUUUGAAUCAAACUGAGUGCUCAAGGCAGGCAAAUUUUACCCGCUUGAAAGAUUUUGCAUGGAAUAAUGAAAUAGGACCUCGCUUCUAUUUUGUUGGUUUUCGGAACCCCGAGGUAAUGAUAAAUAGGGACUGACGGGGGCAUUAGUAUUGCGGCGUUAGAGGUGAAAUUCUUGGAUCGUCGCAAGACUACCUAAAGCGAAAGCAUUUGCCAAGGAUGUUUUCAUUAAUCAAGAACGAAAGUUAGAGGUUCGAAGGCGAUCAGAUACCGCCCUAGUUCUAACCAUAAACGAUGCUAGCCAGCGAUCCGCGGUGGUUCGUUUGUAAUGACCCCGCGGGCAGCUUCCGGGAAACCAGAGCUUCUGAGUUCCGGGGGUAGUAUGGUUGC